GCUUUAUUUACCAAGAAAAACUAAAUGACACGUCCAUUAUUUUUAAGAUUUUCUCCUAAAUCAGUAAAUUAGAAGCUACUUUUAGCCUUAAGAUGUUUUGUGAAUACAGCUUUGAUUCAUGAGGAAUAUUUUGAUCAGAGUUAGCAGAAAUUGCAUACCUCCGUGUUUCUUAAAGUGUUCGUUCACCCGAAAAGUACUGUCAUCAAUGUUGUUUCAAACACAUGAGAGUUUUGUUCAUCUUUGAAACACAAAGAUAUCUGUCCCUCUAUUGAAAGUCUACGCUACCACAAAUAAAUUUGAUGCUUCAACAGGUUCAAGACAUUAUCAAUUAUAAAUAAAUUCAUUUGAAUCAAGUGAUUUAAUUCAAGUCUUCUGCAGAGGCAUAAUCACUUUAUAUGAUGAACAGAUUUAAUUUAGACUUUCAUUCACAUAUAAGCACUGAUCAAUGCACAUACACAGAACAUCAAAUAUGAUAAACAGAAGCUCAUGCAUACUGGCUUCAUGAACUAGUUUUGGUUGCAAAUUUUAAUGGCGAGACAAAUCUCUCAGGUUUCUUUAAAGCUAUUUUCAGUUUUGUUUCAAAGAUGAACAAAAGUUUGAAAUGUGACUAAAUAAAUGACUUUUUUUCAUACAAAUAUGCAUUGUAUGUAGACUGCUAAUUAAAUUAAGUUCAUAAAAAUGGCAUAAUUACAAAAGAAUUAUAAACAUUUUUAAAAAAGUUGUAAAUGAAGCAUAGCAUUACAAAGAGCUUAUGAUUGAACAAAAUUUUGAUGAUGUAAAGCUAACAUUUUUAGUAAUGCCUUUCAACAACCAAACCCAAAACAGACAGUAGCUUUUCAUUCUCUCUCAAUUGCAGCAUUAUUCUAUUAAGCACCCUUAUUUAAAUCUAGUUUUGCAUGUAGAAGCACUUAAAAAUGUCAAUUCUGUUAAUAUUUAGCAGAGUUAAAACAAGGCUGUGUGUGGACAAGAGGUGUACUCUUGCCAAGCAAUGUAAUGUUUGCAGAAAGGAUAACCAUCUUACAUAACAGCAUCCAUAGACUUGUUACAAUUUUAGGAACAGGACAAACUGUUUUCAUUUGAUUAAAAGUAUAUUUCAUUGUAUCGUUUCUGCAACAUAUCUAACUAUAAUGAUAGUGAAUUCAAUAUUAACAUUCCUGAACUGACUUUCACCAGCCUCCUCCCCCAUCAUACACACACACACACACACACACACACACUCCUGGUGGUUUCAGCUGAGCUUGAAUGAUAAGGGUGGGGUUACAUACACACACUGCCAUGUUUAAACAAGACUCACGGUCAGCUGGAUAGCCACCUCCUCCUUUUCUCUCCAACCUGGUGGUUCAGGUUGGUCUCACCUUAUUUCGGAAACACGGAAGAACAGAAGUCACAGCAGGAACAGCGUGCAGCUGUGAAAACUGAUUCCCACCAAACAAAUCACCCUCAGGCCUCUGCCGGGAUAUUGAAGAAAGAACUGAUAUUGAGGUCCAAUGAUGUUCCAAGAGUUUUAACGGACUGAAACAGAAACCGAGGCCCUUGAUUAUUCAUUUUUGCCCAUCUCCUCCAGCCUGACACCAUGAAUAUCUCACUUGAGAACCCCUAUGGUGAUGUCACCAUCCCUCGUGCCAAGUUGCGGGAUCAGGGAGACUCCAGCACCAUCAUCAUGAACCCAAUGACCUUAGAGAGCACCUACAAUAACCGUAACUCCUUAAACCCCUACAACAGCUUCAAAAAUCCAGGGGAGAACAACACCUCAGGUGUUCCGGUUUACGGAGAGGCCAGGAACGGCAGCCAGAACCCCCCUCCUUACAACAACCAGCCAGGAUACACAGUAAAGGAAAGCGAUGAGGAGCAGGUGGGACGAUGCUACGCCUGUUGCUGCCGCUGCCGGAGAAGGAAGUGAGACAAGAUGAUGUACCCUGUGGGUUUACAGUUUGGAACCAUCAUUCAGCCUCCCAAAUUUUGAAAGCCAAAUGCCAUACAGUUCUAAAAUGACUGGAUUUUAGGACUGCUUAAUCUAUUACAUAACCUGGAGAUCAUACAAAACAAGAGCUGACCUUCUGUGACUACACUGAAACCUAUUAUAUUAAAUAUUUACUUUUGGAUUACUGUCAAACAGUGCUUUGUUCGGCUGGAUUGCUCUUAUUGGACCGCUUUGAAGUAACCUUGCCUUUGUGCGCCUCAUACAAUGGCAUACUUCCCUUUAUUCUAGCGUCACCCAGUUGUUCUUGUACACUUACUUACUUAUAUUUGAAUAACAUCACUAUAAUGUAUUAGUGUUUCUAUAAAUUAUAAUGACACUGAACUGGUUUUAGUGGUGCACACAGAGGUGAGGCUCUCUUCUCAAUAUGUCCCGGUGGGCUUCUCCAAGUUUCAAUUGGUUUUUGAGCCACACCCUGACAUGCCGUCAGACCCAGGUCAGUGAAACUCGAGGAAGAACCCUCGUUCUUUUUCUAAAGAAAAGGACAGUGUCAUCUCUUCCUGCAGAAUAAGUGUUGUGGCAUCCGAGUUUCUAUUGAACAAGCUUUUCUGGUUGCUGUAGACAUACUGCUGACACAUUGUGUCUAUUGGUAAACCUGCCAAAGAGACUGUUGAAUGUAAGAUAAAACACUAAAGUACUUAUAUUAUUUUAUUAUAAGCAAUAUUAUGGUAGUUAGAUUUAAUACAAUGGGGCGUGGACAGUUUUUCUUUGGCCAUAAGACUGUGAGCCUGACUAUUGUAAUGUAAAAUAUGCCAAACAAAACGUUUUGGAUUGUCUGUAUUAUAUGUUAGGCACGAUGAUCAAUAUAUUUUUUUGAUACAUAAAAUCACUUUUGUCUCCAUAAA